CCUACGGGCUGCACCAGUGGGGAAUAUUGCACAAUGGGCGCAAGCCUGAUGCAGCCAUGCCGCGUGUGUGAAGAAGGCCUUCGGGUUGUAAAGCACUUUCAGCGAGGAGGAAGGUGGUGAGCUUAAUACGCUCAUCAAUUGACGUUACUCGCAGAAGAAGCACCGGCUAACUCCGUGCCAGCAGCCGCGGUAAUACGGAGGGUGCAAGCGGUAAUCGGAAUUACUGGGCGUAAGGCGCACGCAGGCGGUUUGUUAAGUCAGAUGUGAAAUCCCCGGGCUCAACCUGGGAACUGCAUUUGAAUCUGGCAAGCUAGAGUCUCGUAGAGGGGGGUAGAAUUCCAGGUGUAGCGGUAAAAUGCGUAGAGAUCUGGAGGAAUACCGGUGGCGAAGGCGGCCCCCUGGACGAAGACUGACGCUCAGCUGCGAAAGCGUGGGGAGCAAACAGGAUUAGAUACCCUGGUAGUC
rnacentral:rRNA from 1 species